CGUACAAUCUUAUCAAGCUUCCAUUCUAACAGUAUACCUCAUUGUAUCUUUACACUGUCUUUAGAUCUUGAAAACACUAAACCUUAACUUCCUCUAGCCGUCAAAACACACACCUCUUUUGUCUCAUUCCUUGUUCUUUCAAGUUUCCGGCAGCCCUCCGGUGCCACCACCCUCCUCACGCUUCCGCUACAACCUGGAAUAACUCACCGACCAUUCCUUCCUCCGUUAACCUUCUCUACCUCUGUUUUUCUUCAUAAAACAACCAACGCACACGUGUCUUUGCUCAAGAAAAAGGUAACAGAUAUCCUACUUUUCAAACCCUAAUCUAGCCACCGCCAUCGCACCAUUCAUUAGUCACCAACUUCUUCUCUCUCUUAAUCUCUCGAUCUCUCUUCCUCAAUUUCUUUAGUCUAAAUCACCAUCGCCACCUGACCAAUAGAAAAUACAAUGUACAGAUGUUACACUUGUGUCUCUGCUCAAGGAAAUGGUAAUGAAGAUGUAACUUUUGAAGCCCUAAUCUAGCCACCUACCAUCGCACAAAUCAUCAGUUGACAGCAUAUUCUCUCUCUCUCUCUCUCUCUCUCUCUCUCUCUCUCUCAGACAAAUGGACUUCGACGACCACCACUGUCAUCUUCUGGUGCUUACAUUUAUCCCCAUUAAUGAGAAAUGUAAAUGAGGCUUAGCGUUAUCCAGGUUAAUUAUUCUCCUUUCUCUAUCUACUCAAAGUCGAUGUAAUUCGCAUUUCCCAUCAAUUUCAAGGAUACCAAAGCUUUCAAUCCCGAUAGGGAUUUUGGUAAAAUGCUUUCAUCUUUUCAAAAUUGGGUUUUAAUCAACAAGAAUCGAUCUAGAACUAAGAUAAAUGGUGUGGUUGUUUUUAUUUAAUACGGUUUUUUAGUACACUUGCUCUAAAUUUCUUCCUGUUGUUGUCAAUUUUUGUUACUGCCUCCAAAGACAGGUCAUUUCCACCAAGGGGAAUGGUUUUGGUGCUUAUAUUUCUUCUUGAUGCAACAUGUCCAACAAAACAAGGUGAUCAAACAAGUCCUAAUGAAUGCCUAACUGAGGCUUUAAGGCCAACUGUUCACUCUUUCUACAAAUUCUUAACAACUUCAGACAUAUUGGACGUGACACAAAAAACUCCUACUCAGGGGGUAACAGGAAAAAUCUUCAUGGAACUGAGUGGCAAUUUAAUAUACAAGGAGGGUCAGUUCAGCAGACAGUAGCCAAACAUAAGUAUGCAUCGAAAAACCCAGUCCUUCCAUGAUAAGAAGACGUAGUGACCAUGUUGUAAAAGGAUAUUGAAAGCCUGUCUUAAGAGCCUAUGUAUGCUUGGGAUGGUGAAACACAUCACAGUGUUGGAAGAACUAUUGAGAUAGAAAGUGAUGGUCUCCUGAUAAUUGAGAUUCCAAACCAUGGCAAGCUGAUCCUUUUGACAUGGAAAAACUAGAGGACUUUAAGGUAAAUCAACAAACACAUCUUUCAAAUUUUUUUAAGGGAAUUUUAUGUUCUUUAACAAAUAUGACUUAUGAGCAAAUUAUCUGAUAUGGAAUGGAAGGUUAGAGAUUGGUUGAGAGUUAAGGCUUCUGUGUCCUCAAUACAGGUGGGAGGACAUAACCAGGAAUAAUAUUAGGUUCAUCCACAGUUUAGAGGAAGAUGGUGACAUGGGAAUUGCCUUAUGCUUAAGAAGGCUCUAAUAUUCUAACUUUUUUUUGAGGAUAUUUCAGAAACUUAUCAGCGAUGAGGCUCUUUGGUGGAAAUGCAAAAGUAAAUUGCUAUUUAUUGAAGCCGUGAAUCUAUGAAUUUGAGUAUAGUAGGAUGUUUUGGUAAUUAUAACAUAAUACUUUGAAUAUGUUAAUAUGAGUAUAUUCGAUUGGUUUAAUAAUUCCUAAAAUACUGAAGUAGGUUGUUAUUGUUUAACUCUCAAUACAUUACUUUUUCUUGCAUUUGACCUCAUCGGAGAAAUGAAAGUAUUUUGAUUUUAUCUUGCACACACAAAUCCUAUGGUAGCCUUGGGCUAUAAAGUAAUAGAGUAGAAGCAUCUACUAAAAUUUAAUAAAUCAUUUAUAAAGAAUUGGGAACAUAUGAUUUAUUAGUUUUUUUAAUUUUAUUUCAUGGAUUAAUGUUUAUUUCUCUUUUUAGGUAUGUGUUGAUCAUAAUGAUGUUGAUCUUGACAGUGAACCAUGCUUAUUGGUGAAAGAUACAAAUUAUACAUGUUUGAAACAUAGUUGGAAGCCUCUCCUAAUUGGAGACCAUAUUUGGACGAUUUUUGCUCCUAAUGUUGUUUUGUCCCAGAUGUUAAAGUUGGUUAAUUUCGUUCUUCUGUUGCUUUGCCUCACUCAAUUGGAGAUCAUUUGGGACCUUUCUUCCGAUGGGGUGGUUGCAUGAUAAAUAUAUGUCCUUUUAAAUGGUGUUGUGUUCCCUGUUCUAGAAAAUCAUAAUUCUUAAAUGUUUUUUUUAAUAUUUCUGUACUUGGUCAAUCCUCUUUCCUGUUAAAAAAACUUAUUUAUGGUGAGGUUGUUGCCAAUUUGCAUA